rnacentral:rRNA from 1 species
UACGUAGGGGGCAAGCGUUGUCCGGAAUCAUUGGGCGUAAAGAGCGUGUAGGCGGCCCGAUAAGUCCGCUGUGAAAGUCCAGGGCUCAACCCUGGAAUGCCGGUGGAUACUGUCGGGCUCGAGUUCGGAAGAGGUGAGUGGAAUUCCUGGUGUAGCGGUGAAAUGCGCAGAUAUCAGGAGGAACACCAAUUGCGUAGGCAGCUUACUACACGAUCAUUGACGCUGAGGCACGAAAGCGUGGGGAGCAAACAGG